CUCAGUUCGGAUUGGAGUCUGNAACCCGACUCCAUGAAGCUGGAUUCGCUAGUAAUCGCGCAUCAGCCACGGCGCGGUGAAUACGUUCCCGGGCCUUGUACACACCGCCCGUCAAGCCAUGGGAGCCGGGAGUGCCUGAAGUACGUGACCGCAAGGAGCGUCCUAGGGUAAGACCGGUGACUGGGGCUAAGUCGUAACAAGGUAUC
rnacentral:rRNA from 1 species